CACACACCAAAGUUCAUCUUCUCACCAAGUAGAUUUAUAUGUCCGGCUUGUAAACAUUUUUGCUCAUGCACAUAAAAAGUGUUAACAUUGUUUUUGGGUUUGGUUUCGGGCCCAAAAAAUGGUUCUGCUAUGCUUUCCUCUUUAAAACAAAAGACUACUAGAUCUGAGAUUGAACCGAUGUCAUAUGAGAAUCAUGAAUGAACAUCGUUCUUUUCUAUAUCUUCAUUUUCAUUCAUGUCUAAGAAUCGAUCGAUGAAGAAAUGUAGAAAAAUCCGCCACCGCCCGCCAAAACAGAUUCACCAUUUGCAACCACAGUUGAUGGAGGUCAAAGAAUAAAAUCAAGAGGUUCCGAUUGUAAACUAAUUAAAAACCCACAUGUAUAAAACUUCUUUGAAGUUUACUAUCAUUUCUUUGUUUUUUCCAAAAGAAUUAAAGUCGAUGAUUUUUUGUUUUUAUAUAUUGGAUUUCAAGAUGUAUAUGAAAUUACUUUGCAGGUA